rnacentral:rRNA from 1 species
CCUACGGGAGGCAGCAGUGGGGAAUCUUGGACAAUGGGCGCAAGCCUGAUCCAGCCAUGCCGCGUGAGUGAUGAAGGCCUUAGGGUCGUAAAGCUCUUUCGCCUGUGAUGAUAAUGACAGUAGCAGGUAAAGAAACCCCGGCUAACUCCGUGCCAGCAGCCGCGGUAAUACGGAGGGGGUUAGCGUUGUUCGGAAUUACUGGGCGUAAAGCGCGCGUAGGCGGACUAGUCAGUCAGGGGUGAAAUCCCGGGGCUCAACCCCGGAACUGCCUUUGAUACUGCUAGUCUAGAGUUCGAGAGAGGUGAGUGGAAUUCCGAGUGUAGAGGUGAAAUUCGUAGAUAUUCGGAGGAACACCAGUGGCGAAGGCGGCUCACUGGCUCGAUACUGACGCUGAGGUGCGAAAGUGUGGGGAGCAAACAGGAUUAGAUACCCGAGUAGUC